rnacentral:rRNA from 1 species
UUUAGUGGCGGACGGGUGAGUAACACGUGAGCAACCUGCCUUCGAGAGGGGAAUAACGGCUGGAAACGGUCGCUAAUACCGCAUAAUGUACGGAUGGGACAUCCUGUCUGUACCAAAGAUUUAUCGCUCGAAGAUGGGCUCGCGUCCGAUUAGGUAGUUGGUGAGGUAACGGCCCACCAAGCCGACGAUCGGUAGCCGGACUGAGAGGUUGGCCGGCCACAUUGGGACUGAGACACGGCCCAGACUCCUACGGGAGGCAGCAG